CCUACGGGUGGCAGCAGUGAGGAAUAUUGGUCAAUGGGCGCAAGCCUGAACCAGCCAAGUAGCGUGCAGGAUGACUGCCCUAUGGGUUGUAAACUUCUUUUAUAUGGGAAUAAAGUGCAGUAUGUAUACUGCUUUGCAUGUACCUUAUGAAUAAGGACCGGCUAAUUCCGUGCCAGCAGCCGCGGUAAUACGGAGGGUCCGGGCGUUAUCCGGAUUUAUUGGGUUUAAAGGGAGCGUAGGCGGGAUGUUAAGUCAGAUGUGAAAGUUUAGGGCUCAACCGGUAAAUUGCAGUUGAUACUGGCAUCCUUGAGUACGGUAGAGGUAGGCGGAAUUCGUGGUGUAGCGGUGAAAUGCUUAGAGAUGACGAAGAACACCGAUUGCGAAGGCAGCCUGCUGGACCGUAACUGACGCUGAUGCUCGAAAGCGUGGGUAUCAAACAGGAUUAGAUACCCCAGUAGUC
rnacentral:rRNA from 1 species